rnacentral:lncRNA from 1 species
AAUUUUCGAGACCUUUGGCACCGUUCUAAGAUGGGUCCUCUCUUCGUAGGCUAAUGCAUUGGCCCUUUUUGACCCGUUUUGGGGCGAAAACAAAAACUGACUCCCGGGCAUAUUUUUUUUCGGCCUUUAUGGGCAGAGAACUUUAAUGCCGCUCAGAAUGAGGCCACCCAGUAGUUAGGUGUGAAUUUUCGAGACCUUUGGCACCGUUCUAAGAUGGGUCCUCUCUUCGUAGGCUAAUGCAUUGGCCCUUUUUGACCCGUUUUGGGGCGAAAACAAAAACUGACUCCCGGGCAUAUUUUUUUCGGCCUUUAUGGGCAGAGAACUUUAAUGCCGCUCGGAAUGAGGCCACCCAGUAGUUAGGUGUGAAUUUUCGAGACCUUUGGCACCGUUCUAAGAUGGGUCCUCUCUUCGUAGGCUAAUGCAUUGGCCCUUUUUGACCCGUUUUGGGGCGAAAACAAAAACUGACUCCCGGGCAUAUUUUUUUCGGCCUUUAUGGGCAGAGAACUUUAAUGCCGCUCGGAAUGAGGCCACCCAGUAGUUAGGUGUGAAUUUUCGAGACCUUUGGCACCGUUCUAAGAUGGGUCCUCUCUUCGUAGGCUAAUGCAUUGGCCCUUUUUUGACCCGUUUUGGGGCGAAAACAAAAACUGACUCCCGGGCAUAUUUUUUUCGGCCUUUAUGGGCAGAGAACUUUAAUGCCGCUCAGAAUGAGGCCACCCAGUAGUUAGGUGUGAAUUUUCGAGACCUUUGGCACCGUUCUAAGAUGGGUCCUCUCUUCGUAGGCUAAUGCAUUGGCCCUUUUUGACCCGUUUUGGGGCGAAAACAAAAACUGACUCCCGGGCAUAUUUUUUUCGGCCUUUAUGGGCAGAGAACUUUAAUGCCGCUCAGAAUGAGGCCACCCAGUAGUUAGGUGUGAAUUUUCGAGACCUUUGGCACCGUUCUAAGAUGGGUCCUCUCUUCGUAGGCUAAUGCAUUGGCCCUUUUUGACCCGUUUUGGGGCGAAAACAAAAACUGACUCCCGGGCAUAUUUUUUUCGGCCUUUAUGGGCAGAGAACUUUAAUGCCGCUCAGAAUGAGGCCACCCAGUAGUUAGGUGUGAAUUUUCGAGACCUUUGGCACCGUUCUAAGAUGGGUCCUCUCUUCGUAGGCUAAUGCAUUGGCCCUUUUUGACCCGUUUUGGGGCGAAAACAAAAACUGACUCCCGGGCAUAUUUUUUUCGGCCUUUAUGGGCAGAGAACUUUAAUGCCGCUCAGAAUGAGGCCACCCAGUAGUUAGGUGUGAAUUUUCGAGACCUUUGGCACCGUUCUAAGAUGGGUCCUCUCUUCGUAGGCUAAUGCAUUGGCCCUUUUUGACCCGUUUUGGGGCGAAAACAAAAACUGACUCCCGGGCAUAUUUUUUUUCGGCCUUUAUGGGCAGAGAACUUUAAUGCCGCUCAGAAUGAGGCCACCCAGUAGUUAGGUGUGAAUUUUCGAGACCUUUGGCACCGUUCUAAGAUGGGUCCUCUCUUCGUAGGCUAAUGCAUUGGCCCUUUUUGACCCGUUUUGGGGCGAAAACAAAAACUGACUCCCGGGCAUAUUUUUUUCGGCCUUUAUGGGCAGAGAACUUUAAUGCCGCUCAGAAUGAGGCCACCCAGUAGUUAGGUGUGAAUUUUCGAGACCUCUGGCACCGUUCUAAGAUGGGUCCUCUCUUCGUAGGCUAAUGCAUUGGCCCUUUUUGACCCGUUUUGGGGCGAAAACAAAAACUGACUCCCGGGCAUAUUUUUUUCGGCCUUUAUGGGCAGAGAACUUUAAUGCCGCUCAGAAUGAGGCCACCCAGUAGUUAGGUGUGAAUUUUCGAGACCUCUGGCACCGUUCUAAGAUGGGUCCUCUCUUCGUAGGCUAAUGCAUUGGCCCUUUUUGACCCGUUUUGGGGCGAAAACAAAAACUGACUCCCGGGCAUAUUUUUUUCGGCCUUUAUGGGCAGAGAACUUUAAUGCCGCUCAGAAUGAGGCCACCCAGUAGUUAGGUGUGAAUUUUCGAGACCUCUGGCACCGUUCUAAGAUGGGUCCUCUCUUCGUAGGCUAAUGCAUUGGCCCUUUUUGACCCGUUUUGGGGCGAAAACAAAAACUGACUCCCGGGCAUAUUUUUUUCGGCCUUUAUGGGCAGAGAACUUUAAUGCCGCUCAGAAUGAGGCCACCCAGUAGUUAGGUGUGAAUUUUCGAGACCUCUGGCACCGUUCUAAGAUGGGUCCUCUCUUCGUAGGCUAAUGCAUUGGCCCUUUUUGACCCGUUUUGGGGCGAAAACAAAAACUGACUCCCGGGCAUAUUUUUUUCGGCCUUUAUGGGCAGAGAACUUUAAUGCCGCUCAGAAUGAGGCCACCCAGUAGUUAGGUGUGAAUUUUCGAGACCUCUGGCACCGUUCUAAGAUGGGUCCUCUCUUCGUAGGCUAAUGCAUUGGCCCUUUUUGACCCGUUUUGGGGCGAAAACAAAAACUGACUCCCGGGCAUAUUUUUUUCGGCCUUUAUGGGCAGAGAACUUUAAUGCCGCUCAGAAUGAGGCCACCCAGUAGUUAGGUGUGAAUUUUCGAGACCUCUGGCACCGUUCUAAGAUGGGUCCUCUCUUCGUAGGCUAAUGCAUUGGCCCUUUUUGACCCGUUUUGGGGCGAAAACAAAAACUGACUCCCGGGCAUAUUUUUUUCGGCCUUUAUGGGCAGAGAACUUUAAUGCCGCUCAGAAUGAGGCCACCCAGUAGUUAGGUGUGAAUUUUCGAGACCUCUGGCACCGUUCUAAGAUGGGUCCUCUCUUCGUAGGCUAAUGCAUUGGCCCUUUUUGACCCGUUUUGGGGCGAAAACAAAAACUGACUCCCGGGCAUAUUUUUUUCGGCCUUUAUGGGCAGAGAACUUUAAUGCCGCUCAGAAUGAGGCCACCCAGUAGUUAGGUGUGAAUUUUCGAGACCUCUGGCACCGUUCUAAGAUGGGUCCUCUCUUCGUAGGCUAAUGCAUUGGCCCUUUUUGACCCGUUUUGGGGCGAAAACAAAAACUGACUCCCGGGCAUAUUUUUUUCGGCCUUUAUGGGCAGAGAACUUUAAUGCCGCUCAGAAUGAGGCCACCCAGUAGUUAGGUGUGAAUUUUCGAGACCUCUGGCACCGUUCUAAGAUGGGUCCUCUCUUCGUAGGCUAAUGCAUUGGCCCUUUUUGACCCGUUUUGGGGCGAAAACAAAAACUGACUCCCGGGCAUAUUUUUUUCGGCCUUUUAUGGGCAGAGAACUUUAAUGCCGCUCAGAAUGAGGCCACCCAGUAGUUAGGUGUGAAUUUUCGAGACCUCUGGCACCGUUCUAAGAUGGGUCCUCUCUUCGUAGGCUAAUGCAUUGGCCCUUUUUGACCCGUUUUGGGGCGAAAACAAAAACUGACUCCCGGGCAUAUUUUUUUCGGCCUUUAUGGGCAGAGAACUUUAAUGCCGCUCAGAAUGAGGCCACCCAGUAGUUAGGUGUGAAUUUUCGAGACCUCUGGCACCGUUCUAAGAUGGGUCCUCUCUUCGUAGGCUAAUGCAUUGGCCCUUUUUGACCCGUUUUGGGGCGAAAACAAAAACUGACUCCCGGGCAUAUUUUUUUCGGCCUUUAUGGGCAGAGAACUUUAAUGCCGCUCAGAAUGAGGCCACCCAGUAGUUAGGUGUGAAUUUUCGAGACCUCUGGCACCGUUCUAAGAUGGGUCCUCUCUUCGUAGGCUAAUGCAUUGGCCCUUUUUGACCCGUUUUGGGGCGAAAACAAAAACUGACUCCCGGGCAUAUUUUUUUCGGCCUUUAUGGGCAGAGAACUUUAAUGCCGCUCAGAAUGAGGCCACCCAGUAGUUAGGUGUGAAUUUUCGAGACCUCUGGCACCGUUCUAAGAUGGGUCCUCUCUUCGUAGGCUAAUGCAUUGGCCCUUUUUGACCCGUUUUGGGGCGAAAACAAAAACUGACUCCCGGGCAUAUUUUUUUCGGCCUUUAUGGGCAGAGAACUUUAAUGCCGCUCAGAAUGAGGCCACCCAGUAGUUAGGUGUGAAUUUUCGAGACCUCUGGCACCGUUCUAAGAUGGGUCCUCUCUUCGUAGGCUAAUGCAUUGGCCCUUUUUGACCCGUUUUGGGGCGAAAAAAAAAAACUGACUCCCGGGCAUAUUUUUUUCGGCCUUUAUGGGCAGAGAACUUUAAUGCCGCUCAGAAUGAGGCCACCCAGUAGUUAGGUGUGAAUUUUCGAGACCUCUGGCACCGUUCUAAGAUGGGUCCUCUCUUCGUAGGCUAAUGCAUUGGCCCUUUUUGACCCGUUUUGGGGCGAAAACAAAAACUGACUCCCGGGCAUAUUUUUUUCGGCCUUUAUGGGCAGAGAACUUUAAUGCCGCUCAGAAUGAGGCCACCCAGUAGUUAGGUGUGAAUUUUCGAGACCUCUGGCACCGUUCUAAGAUGGGUCCUCUCUUCGUAGGCUAAUGCAUUGGCCCUUUUUGACCCGUUUUGGGGCGAAAACAAAAACUGACUCCCGGGCAUAUUUUUUUCGGCCUUUAUGGGCAGAGAACUUUAAUGCCGCUCAGAAUGAGGCCACCCAGUAGUUAGGUGUGAAUUUUCGAGACCUCUGGCACCGUUCUAAGAUGGGUCCUCUCUUCGUAGGCUAAUGCAUUGGCCCUUUUUGACCCGUUUUGGGGCGAAAACAAAAACUGACUCCCGGGCAUAUUUUUUUCGGCCUUUAUGGGCAGAGAACUUUAAUGCCGCUCAGAAUGAGGCCACCCAGUAGUUAGGUGUGAAUUUUCGAGACCUCUGGCACCGUUCUAAGAUGGGUCCUCUCUUCGUAGGCUAAUGCAUUGGCCCUUUUUGACCCGUUUUGGGGCGAAAACAAAAACUGACUCCCGGGCAUAUUUUUUUCGGCCUUUAUGGGCAGAGAACUUUAAUGCCGCUCAGAAUGAGGCCACCCAGUAGUUAGGUGUGAAUUUUCGAGACCUCUGGCACCGUUCUAAGAUGGGUCCUCUCUUCGUAGGCUAAUGCAUUGGCCCUUUUUGACCCGUUUUGGGGCGAAAACAAAAACUGACUCCCGGGCAUAUUUUUUUCGGCCUUUAUGGGCAGAGAACUUUAAUGCCGCUCAGAAUGAGGCCACCCAGUAGUUAGGUGUGAAUUUUCGAGACCUCUGGCACCGUUCUAAGAUGGGUCCUCUCUUCGUAGGCUAAUGCAUUGGCCCUUUUUGACCCGUUUUGGGGCGAAAACAAAAACUGACUCCCGGGCAUAUUUUUUUCGGCCUUUAUGGGCAGAGAACUUUAAUACCGCUCAGAAUGAGGCCACCCAGUAGUUAGGUGUGAAUUUUCGAGACCUCUGGCACCGUUCUAAGAUGGGUCCUCUCUUCGUAGGCUAAUGCAUUGGCCCUUUUUGACCCGUUUUGGGGCGAAAACAAAAACUGACUCCCGGGCAUAUUUUUUUCGGCCUUUAUGGGCAGAGAACUUUAAUGCCGCUCAGAAUGAGGCCACCCAGUAGUUAGGUGUGAAUUUUCGAGACCUCUGGCACCGUUCUAAGAUGGGUCCUCUCUUCGUAGGCUAAUGCAUUGGCCCUUUUUGACCCGUUUUGGGGCGAAAACAAAAACUGACUCCCGGGCAUAUUUUUUUCGGCCUUUAUGGGCAGAGAACUUUAAUACCGCUCAGAAUGAGGCCACCCAGUAGUUAGGUGUGAAUUUUCGAGACCUCUGGCACCGUUCUAAGAUGGGUCCUCUCUUCGUAGGCUAAUGCAUUGGCCCUUUUUGACCCGUUUUGGGGCGAAAACAAAAACUGACUCCCGGGCAUAUUUUUUUCGGCCUUUAUGGGCAGAGAACUUUAAUACCGCUCAGAAUGAGGCCACCCAGUAGUUAGGUGUGAAUUUUCGAGACCUCUGGCACCGUUCUAAGAUGGGUCCUCUCUUCGUAGGCUAAUGCAUUGGCCCUUUUUGACCCGUUUUGGGGCGAAAACAAAAACUGACUCCCGGGCAUAUUUUUUUCGGCCUUUAUGGGCAGAGAACUUUAAUACCGCUCAGAAUGAGGCCACCCAGUAGUUAGGUGUGAAUUUUCGAGACCUCUGGCACCGUUCUAAGAUGGGUCCUCUCUUCGUAGGCUAAUGCAUUGGCCCUUUUUGACCCGUUUUGGGGCGAAAACAAAAACUGACUCCCGGGCAUAUUUUUUUCGGCCUUUAUGGGCAGAGAACUUUAAUACCGCUCAGAAUGAGGCCACCCAGUAGUUAGGUGUGAAUUUUCGAGACCUCUGGCACCGUUCUAAGAUGGGUCCUCUCUUCGUAGGCUAAUGCAUUGGCCCUUUUUGACCCGUUUUGGGGCGAAAACAAAAACUGACUCCCGGGCAUAUUUUUUUCGGCCUUUAUGGGCAGAGAACUUUAAUGCCGCUCAGAAUGAGGCCACCCAGUAGUUAGGUGUGAAUUUUCGAGACCUCUGGCACCGUUCUAAGAUGGGUCCUCUCUUCGUAGGCUAAUGCAUUGGCCCUUUUUGACCCGUUUUGGGGCGAAAACAAAAACUGACUCCCGGGCAUAUUUUUUUCGGCCUUUAUGGGCAGAGAACUUUAAUACCGCUCAGAAUGAGGCCACCCAGUAGUUAGGUGUGAAUUUUCGAGACCUCUGGCACCGUUCUAAGAUGGGUCCUCUCUUCGUAGGCUAAUGCAUUGGCCCUUUUUGACCCGUUUUGGGGCGAAAACAAAAACUGACUCCCGGGCAUAUUUUUUUCGGCCUUUAUGGGCAGAGAACUUUAAUGCCGCUCAGAAUGAGGCCACCCAGUAGUUAGGUGUGAAUUUUCGAGACCUCUGGCACCGUUCUAAGAUGGGUCCUCUCUUCGUAGGCUAAUGCAUUGGCCCUUUUUGACCCGUUUUGGGGCGAAAACAAAAACUGACUCCCGGGCAUAUUUUUUUCGGCCUUUAUGGGCAGAGAACUUUAAUGCCGCUCAGAAUGAGGCCACCCAGUAGUUAGGUGUGAAUUUUCGAGACCUCUGGCACCGUUCUAAGAUGGGUCCUCUCUUCGUAGGCUAAUGCAUUGGCCCUUUUUGACCCGUUUUGGGGCGAAAACAAAAACUGACUCCCGGGCAUAUUUUUUUCGGCCUUUAUGGGCAGAGAACUUUAAUACCGCUCAGAAUGAGGCCACCCAGUAGUUAGGUGUGAAUUUUCGAGACCUCUGGCACCGUUCUAAGAUGGGUCCUCUCUUCGUAGGCUAAUGCAUUGGCCCUUUUUGACCCGUUUUGGGGCGAAAACAAAAACUGACUCCCGGGCAUAUUUUUUUCGGCCUUUAUGGGCAGAGAACUUUAAUGCCGCUCAGAAUGAGGCCACCCAGUAGUUAGGUGUGAAUUUUCGAGACCUCUGGCACCGUUCUAAGAUGGGUCCUCUCUUCGUAGGCUAAUGCAUUGGCCCUUUUUGACCCGUUUUGGGGCGAAAACAAAAACUGACUCCCGGGCAUAUUUUUUUCGGCCUUUAUGGGCAGAGAACUUUAAUGCCGCUCAGAAUGAGGCCACCCAGUAGUUAGGUGUGAAUUUUCGAGACCUCUGGCACCGUUCUAAGAUGGGUCCUCUCUUCGUAGGCUAAUGCAUUGGCCCUUUUUGACCCGUUUUGGGGCGAAAACAAAAACUGACUCCCGGGCAUAUUUUUUUCGGCCUUUAUGGGCAGAGAACUUUAAUGCCGCUCAGAAUGAGGCCACCCAGUAGUUAGGUGUGAAUUUUCGAGACCUCUGGCACCGUUCUAAGAUGGGUCCUCUCUUCGUAGGCUAAUGCAUUGGCCCUUUUUGACCCGUUUUGGGGCGAAAACAAAAACUGACUCCCGGGCAUAUUUUUUUCGGCCUUUAUGGGCAGAGAACUUUAAUGCCGCUCAGAAUGAGGCCACCCAGUAGUUAGGUGUGAAUUUUCGAGACCUCUGGCACCGUUCUAAGAUGGGUCCUCUCUUCGUAGGCUAAUGCAUUGGCCCUUUUUGACCCGUUUUGGGGCGAAAACAAAAACUGACUCCCGGGCAUAUUUUUUUCGGCCUUUAUGGGCAGAGAACUUUAAUGCCGCUCAGAAUGAGGCCACCCAGUAGUUAGGUGUGAAUUUUCGAGACCUCUGGCACCGUUCUAAGAUGGGUCCUCUCUUCGUAGGCUAAUGCAUUGGCCCUUUUUGACCCGUUUUGGGGCGAAAACAAAAACUGACUCCCGGGCAUAUUUUUUUCGGCCUUUAUGGGCAGAGAACUUUAAUGCCGCUCAGAAUGAGGCCACCCAGUAGUUAGGUGUGAAUUUUCGAGACCUCUGGCACCGUUCUAAGAUGGGUCCUCUCUUCGUAGGCUAAUGCAUUGGCCCUUUUUGACCCGUUUUGGGGCGAAAACAAAAACUGACUCCCGGGCAUAUUUUUUUCGGCCUUUAUGGGCAGAGAACUUUAAUGCCGCUCAGAAUGAGGCCACCCAGUAGUUAGGUGUGAAUUUUCGAGACCUCUGGCACCGUUCUAAGAUGGGUCCUCUCUUCGUAGGCUAAUGCAUUGGCCCUUUUUGACCCGUUUUGGGGCGAAAACAAAAACUGACUCCCGGGCAUAUUUUUUUCGGCCUUUAUGGGCAGAGAACUUUAAUGCCGCUCAGAAUGAGGCCACCCAGUAGUUAGGUGUGAAUUUUCGAGACCUCUGGCACCGUUCUAAGAUGGGUCCUCUCUUCGUAGGCUAAUGCAUUGGCCCUUUUUGACCCGUUUUGGGGCGAAAACAAAAACUGACUCCCGGGCAUAUUUUUUUCGGCCUUUAUGGGCAGAGAACUUUAAUGCCGCUCAGAAUGAGGCCACCCAGUAGUUAGGUGUGAAUUUUCGAGACCUCUGGCACCGUUCUAAGAUGGGUCCUCUCUUCGUAGGCUAAUGCAUUGGCCCUUUUUGACCCGUUUUGGGGCGAAAACAAAAACUGACUCCCGGGCAUAUUUUUUUCGGCCUUUAUGGGCAGAGAACUUUAAUGCCGCUCAGAAUGAGGCCACCCAGUAGUUAGGUGUGAAUUUUCGAGACCUCUGGCACCGUUCUAAGAUGGGUCCUCUCUUCGUAGGCUAAUGCAUUGGCCCUUUUUGACCCGUUUUGGGGCGAAAACAAAAACUGACUCCCGGGCAUAUUUUUUUCGGCCUUUAUGGGCAGAGAACUUUAAUGCCGCUCAGAAUGAGGCCACCCAGUAGUUAGGUGUGAAUUUUCGAGACCUCUGGCACCGUUCUAAGAUGGGUCCUCUCUUCGUAGGCUAAUGCAUUGGCCCUUUUUGACCCGUUUUGGGGCGAAAACAAAAACUGACUCCCGGGCAUAUUUUUUUCGGCCUUUAUGGGCAGAGAACUUUAAUACCGCUCAGAAUGAGGCCACCCAGUAGUUAGGUGUGAAUUUUCGAGACCUCUGGCACCGUUCUAAGAUGGGUCCUCUCUUCGUAGGCUAAUGCAUUGGCCCUUUUUGACCCGUUUUGGGGCGAAAACAAAAACUGACUCCCGGGCAUAUUUUUUUCGGCCUUUAUGGGCAGAGAACUUUAAUGCCGCUCAGAAUGAGGCCACCCAGUAGUUAGGUGUGAAUUUUCGAGACCUCUGGCACCGUUCUAAGAUGGGUCCUCUCUUCGUAGGCUAAUGCAUUGGCCCUUUUUGACCCGUUUUGGGGCGAAAACAAAAACUGACUCCCGGGCAUAUUUUUUUCGGCCUUUAUGGGCAGAGAACUUUAAUACCGCUCAGAAUGAGGCCACCCAGUAGUUAGGUGUGAAUUUUCGAGACCUCUGGCACCGUUCUAAGAUGGGUCCUCUCUUCGUAGGCUAAUGCAUUGGCCCUUUUUGACCCGUUUUGGGGCGAAAACAAAAACUGACUCCCGGGCAUAUUUUUUUCGGCCUUUAUGGGCAGAGAACUUUAAUGCCGCUCAGAAUGAGGCCACCCAGUAGUUAGGUGUGAAUUUUCGAGACCUCUGGCACCGUUCUAAGAUGGGUCCUCUCUUCGUAGGCUAAUGCAUUGGCCCUUUUUGACCCGUUUUGGGGCGAAAACAAAAACUGACUCCCGGGCAUAUUUUUUUCGGCCUUUAUGGGCAGAGAACUUUAAUGCCGCUCAGAAUGAGGCCACCCAGUAGUUAGGUGUGAAUUUUCGAGACCUCUGGCACCGUUCUAAGAUGGGUCCUCUCUUCGUAGGGCUAAUGCAUUGGCCCUUUUUGACCCGUUUUGGGGCGAAAACAAAAACUGACUCCCGGGCAUAUUUUUUUCGGCCUUUAUGGGCAGAGAACUUUAAUACCGCUCAGAAUGAGGCCACCCAGUAGUUAGGUGUGAAUUUUCGAGACCUCUGGCACCGUUCUAAGAUGGGUCCUCUCUUCGUAGGCUAAUGCAUUGGCCCUUUUUGACCCGUUUUGGGGCGAAAACAAAAACUGACUCCCGGGCAUAUUUUUUUCGGCCUUUAUGGGCAGAGAACUUUAAUGCCGCUCAGAAUGAGGCCACCCAGUAGUUAGGUGUGAAUUUUCGAGACCUCUGGCACCGUUCUAAGAUGGGUCCUCUCUUCGUAGGCUAAUGCAUUGGCCCUUUUUGACCCGUUUUGGGGCGAAAACCAAAAACUGACUCCCGGGCAUAUUUUUUUCGGCCUUUAUGGGCAGAGAACUUUAAUACCGCUCAGAAUGAGGCCACCACCCAGUAGUUAGGUGUGAAUUUUCGAGACCUCUGGCACCGUUCUAAGAUGGGUCCUCUCUUCGUAGGCUAAUGCAUUGGCCCUUUUUGACCCGUUUUGGGGCGAAAACAAAAACUGACUCCCGGGCAUAUUUUUUUCGGCCUUUAUGGGCAGAGAAACUUUAAUGCCGCUCAGAAUGAGGCCACCCAGUAGUUAGGUGUGAAUUUUCGAGACCUCUGGCACCGUUCUAAGAUGGGUCCUCUCUUCGUAGGCUAAUGCAUUGGCCCUUUUUGACCCGUUUUGGGGCGAAAACAAAAACUGACUCCCGGGCAUAUUUUUUUCGGCCUUUAUGGGCAGAGAACUUUAAUACCGCUCAGAAUGAGGCCACCCAGUAGUUAGGUGUGAAUUUUCGAGACCUCUGGCACCGUUCUAAGAUGGGUCCUCUCUUCGUAGGCUAAUGCAUUGGCCCUUUUUGACCCGUUUUGGGGCGAAAACAAAAACUGACUCCCGGGCAUAUUUUUUUCGGCCUUUAUGGGCAAAGAACUUUAAUGCCGCUCAGAAUGAGGCCACCCAGUAGUUAGGUGUGAAUUUUCGAGACCUCUGGCACCGUUCUAAGAUGGGUCCUCUCUUCGUAGGCUAAUGCAUUGGCCCUUUUUGACCCGUUUUGGGGCGAAAAACAAAAACUGACUCCCGGGCAUAUUUUUUUCGGCCUUUAUGGGCAAAGAACUUUAAUGCCGCUCAGAAUGAGGCCACCCAGUAGUUAGGUGUGAAUUUUCGAGACCUCUGGCACCGUUCUAAGAUGGGUCCUCUCUUCGUAGGCUAAUGCAUUGGCCCUUUUUGACCCGUUUUGGGGCGAAAACAAAAAACUGACUCCCGGGCAUAUUUUUUUCGGCCUUUAUGGGCAGAGAACUUUAAUGCCGCUCAGAAUGAGGCCACCCAGUAGUUAGGUGUGAAUUUUCGAGACCUCUGGCACCGUUCUAAGAUGGGUCCUCUCUUCGUAGGCUAAUGCAUUGGCCCUUUUUGACCCGUUUUGGGGCGAAAACAAAAACUGACUCCCGGGCAUAUUUUUUUCGGCCUUUAUGGGCAGAGAACUUUAAUACCGCUCAGAAUGAGGCCACCCAGUAGUUAGGUGUGAAUUUUCGAGACCUCUGGCACCGUUCUAAGAUGGGUCCUCUCUUCGUAGGCUAAUGCAUUGGCCCUUUUUGACCCGUUUUGGGGCGAAAACAAAAACUGACUCCCGGGCAUAUUUUUUUCGGCCUUUAUGGGCAGAGAACUUUAAUACCGCUCAGAAUGAGGCCACCCAGUAGUUAGGUGUGAAUUUUCGAGACCCUCUGGCACCGUUCUAAGAUGGGUCCUCUCUUCGUAGGCUAAUGCAUUGGCCCUUUUUGACCCGUUUUGGGGCGAAAACAAAAACUGACUCCCGGGCAUAUUUUUUUCGGCCUUUAUGGGCAGAGAACUUUAAUACCGCUCAGAAUGAGGCCACCCAGUAGUUAGGUGUGAAUUUUCGAGACCUCUUGGCACCGUUCUAAGAUGGGUCCUCUCUUCGUAGGCUAAUGCAUUGGCCCUUUUUGACCCGUUUUGGGGCGAAAACAAAAACUGACUCCCGGGCAUAUUUUUUUCGGCCUUUAUGGGCAGAGAACUUUAAUGCCGCUCAGAAUGAGGCCACCCAGUAGUUAGGUGUGAAUUUUCGAGACCUCUGGCACCGUUCUAAGAUGGGUCCUCUCUUCGUAGGCUAAUGCAUUGGCCCUUUUUGACCCGUUUUGGGGCGAAAACAAAAACUGACUCCCGGGCAUAUUUUUUUCGGCCUUUAUGGGCAGAGAACUUUAAUACCGCUCAAAAAUGAGGCCACCCAGUAGUUAGGUGUGAAUUUUCGAGACCUCUGGCACCGUUCUAAGAUGGGUCCUCUCUUCGUAGGCUAAUGCAUUGGCCCUUUUUGACCCGUUUUGGGGCGAAAACAAAAACUGACUCCCGGGCAUAUUUUUUUCGGCCUUUAUGGGCAGAGAACUUUAAUACCGCUCAGAAUGAGGCCACCCAGUAGUUAGGUGUGAAUUUUCGAGACCUUUGGCACCGUUCUAAGAUGGGUCCUCUCUUCGUAGGCUAAUGCAUUGGCCCUUUUUGACCCGUUUUGGGGCGAAAACAAAAACUGACUCCCGGGCAUAUUUUUUUCGGCCUUUAUGGGCAGAGAACUUUAAUGCCGCUCAGAAUGAGGCCACCCAGUAGUUAGGUGUGAAUUUUCGAGACCUCUGGCACCGUUCUAAGAUGGGUCCUCUCUUCGUAGGCUAAUGCAUUGGCCCUUUUUGACCCGUUUUGGGGCGAAAACAAAAACUGACUCCCGGGCAUAUUUUUUUCGGCCUUUAUGGGCAGAGAACUUUAAUGCCGCUCAGAAUGAGGCCACCCAGUAGUUAGGUGUGAAUUUUCGAGACCUCUGGCACCGUUCUAAGAUGGGUCCUCUCUUCGUAGGCUAAUGCAUUGGCCCUUUUUGACCCGUUUUGGGGCGAAAACAAAAACUGACUCCCGGGCAUAUUUUUUUCGGCCUUUAUGGGCAGAGAACUUUAAUACCGCUCAGAAUGAGGCCACCCAGUAGUUAGGUGUGAAUUUUCGAGACCUCUGGCACCGUUCUAAGAUGGGUCCUCUCUUCGUAGGCUAAUGCAUUGGCCCUUUUUGACCCGUUUUGGGGCGAAAACAAAAACUGACUCCCGGGCAUAUUUUUUUCGGCCUUUAUGGGCAGAGAACUUUAAUACCGCUCAGAAUGAGGCCACCCAGUAGUUAGGUGUGAAUUUUCGAGACCUCUGGCACCGUUCUAAGAUGGGUCCUCUCUUCGUAGGCUAAUGCAUUGGCCCUUUUUGACCCGUUUUGGGGCGAAAACAAAAACUGACUCCCGGGCAUAUUUUUUUCGGCCUUUAUGGGCAGAGAACUUUAAUACCGCUCAGAAUGAGGCCACCCAGUAGUUAGGUGUGAAUUUUCGAGACCUUCUGGCACCGUUCUAAGAUGGGUCCUCUCUUCGUAGGCUAAUGCAUUGGCCCUUUUUGACCCGUUUUGGGGCGAAAACAAAAACUGACUCCCGGGCAUAUUUUUUUCGGCCUUUAUGGGCAGAGAACUUUAAUGCCGCUCAGAAUGAGGCCACCCAGUAGUUAGGUGUGAAUUUUCGAGACCUCUGGCACCGUUCUAAGAUGGGUCCUCUCUUCGUAGGCUAAUGCAUUGGCCCUUUUUGACCCGUUUUGGGGCGAAAACAAAAACUGACUCCCGGGCAUAUUUUUUUCGGCCUUUAUGGGCAGAGAACUUUAAUACCGCUCAGAAUGAGGCCACCCAGUAGUUAGGUGUGAAUUUUCGAGACCUCUGGCACCGUUCUAAGAUGGGUCCUCUCUUCGUAGGCUAAUGCAUUGGCCCUUUUUGACCCGUUUUGGGGCGAAAACAAAAACUGACUCCCGGGCAUAUUUUUUUCGGCCUUUAUGGGCAGAGAACUUUAAUACCGCUCAGAAUGAGGCCACCCAGUAGUUAGGUGUGAAUUUUCGAGACCUCUGGCACCGUUCUAAGAUGGGUCCUCUCUUCGUAGGCUAAUGCAUUGGCCCUUUUUGACCCGUUUUGGGGCGAAAACAAAAACUGACUCCCGGGCAUAUUUUUUUCGGCCUUUAUGGGCAGAGAACUUUAAUGCCGCUCAGAAUGAGGCCACCCAGUAGUUAGGUGUGAAUUUUCGAGACCUCUGGCACCGUUCUAAGAUGGGUCCUCUCUUCGUAGGCUAAUGCAUUGGCCCUUUUUGACCCGUUUUGGGGCGAAAACAAAAACUGACUCCCGGGCAUAUUUUUUUCGGCCUUUAUGGGCAGAGAACUUUAAUACCGCUCAGAAAUGAGGCCACCCAGUAGUUAGGUGUGAAUUUUCGAGACCUCUGGCACCGUUCUAAGAUGGGUCCUCUCUUCGUAGGCUAAUGCAUUGGCCCUUUUUGACCCGUUUUGGGGCGAAAACAAAAACUGACUCCCGGGCAUAUUUUUUUCGGCCUUUAUGGGCAGAGAACUUUAAUACCGCUCAGAAUGAGGCCACCCAGUAGUUAGGUGUGAAUUUUCGAGACCUCUCGGCACCGUUCUAAGAUGGGUCCUCUCUUCGUAGGCUAAUGCAUUGGCCCUUUUUGACCCGUUUUGGGGCGAAAACAAAAACUGACUCCCGGGCAUAUUUUUUUCGGCCUUUAUGGGCAGAGAACUUUAAUGCCGCUCAGAAAUGAGGCCACCCAGUAGUUAGGUGUGAAUUUUCGAGACCUCUGGCACCGUUCUAAGAUGGGUCCUCUCUUCGUAGGCUAAUGCAUUGGCCCUUUUUGACCCGUUUUGGGGCGAAAACAAAAACUGACUCCCGGGCAUAUUUUUUUCGGCCUUUAUGGGCAGAGAACUUUAAUACCGCUCAGAAUGAGGCCACCCAGUAGUUAGGUGUGAAUUUUCGAGACCUCUGGCACCGUUCUAAGAUGGGUCCUCUCUUCGUAGGCUAAUGCAUUGGCCCUUUUUGACCCGUUUUGGGGCGAAAACAAAAACUGACUCCCGGGCAUAUUUUUUUCGGCCUUUAUGGGCAGAGAACUUUAAUACCGCUCAGAAUGAGGCCACCCAGUAGUUAGGUGUGAAUUUUCGAGACCUCUUGGCACCGUUCUAAGAUGGGUCCUCUCUUCGUAGGCUAAUGCAUUGGCCCUUUUUGACCCGUUUUGGGGCGAAAACAAAAACUGACUCCCGGGCAUAUUUUUUUCGGCCUUUAUGGGCAGAGAACUUUAAUGCCGCUCAGAAUGAGGCCACCCAGUAGUUAGGUGUGAAUUUUCGAGACCUCUGGCACCGUUCUAAGAUGGGUCCUCUCUUCGUAGGCUAAUGCAUUGGCCCUUUUUGACCCGUUUUGGGGCGAAAACAAAAACUGACUCCCGGGCAUAUUUUUUUCGGCCUUUAUGGGCAGAGAACUUUAAUGCCGCUCAGAAUGAGGCCACCCAGUAGUUAGGUGUGAAUUUUCGAGACCUUUGGCACCGUUCUAAGAUGGGUCCUCUCUUCGUAGGCUAAUGCAUUGGCCCUUUUUGACCCGUUUUGGGGCGAAAACAAAAACUGACUCCCGGGCAUAUUUUUUUCGGCCUUUAUGGGCAGAGAACUUUAAUACCGCUCAGAAUGAGGCCACCCAGUAGUUAGGUGUGAAUUUUCGAGACCUCUGGCACCGUUCUAAGAUGGGUCCUCUCUUCGUAGGCUAAUGCAUUGGCCCUUUUUGACCCGUUUUGGGGCGAAAACAAAAACUGACUCCCGGGCAUAUUUUUUUCGGCCUUUAUGGGCAGAGAACUUUAAUGCCGCUCAGAAUGAGGCCACCCAGUAGUUAGGUGUGAAUUUUCGAGACCUCUGGCACCGUUCUAAGAUGGGUCCUCUCUUCGUAGGCUAAUGCAUUGGCCCUUUUUGACCCGUUUUGGGGCGAAAACAAAAACUGACUCCCGGGCAUAUUUUUUUCGGCCUUUAUGGGCAGAGAACUUUAAUACCGCUCAGAAUGAGGCCACCCAGUAGUUAGGUGUGAAUUUUCGAGACCUCUGGCACCGUUCUAAGAUGGGUCCUCUCUUCGUAGGCUAAUGCAUUGGCCCUUUUUGACCCGUUUUGGGGCGAAAACAAAAACUGACUCCCGGGCAUAUUUUUUUCGGCCUUUAUGGGCAGAGAACUCUUAAUAGCCGCUCAGAAAUGGCCAGGCCACCCAGUAGUUAGGUGUGAAUUUUCGAGACCUCUGGCACCGUUCUAAGAUGGGUCCUCUCUUCGUAGGCUAAUGCAUUGGCCCUUUUUGACCCGUUUUGGGGCGAAAACAAAAACUGACUCCCGGGCAUAUUUUUUUCGGCCUUUAUGGGCAGAGAACUUUAAUGCCGCUCAGAAUGAGGCCACCCAGUAGUUAGGUGUGAAUUUUCGAGACCUCUGGCACCGUUCUAAGAUGGGUCCUCUCUUCGUAGGCUAAUGCAUUGGCCCUUUUUGACCCGUUUUGGGGCGAAAACAAAAACUGACUCCCGGGCAUAUUUUUUUCGGCCUUUAUGGGCAGAGAACUUUAAUGCCGCUCAGAAUGAGGCCACCCAGUAGUUAGGUGUGAAUUUUCGAGACCUUUGGCACCGUUCUAAGAUGGGUCCUCUCUUCGUAGGCUAAUGCAUUGGCCCUUUUUGACCCGUUUUGGGGCGAAAACAAAAACUGACUCCCGGGCAUAUUUUUUUCGGCCUUUAUGGGCAGAGAACUUUAAUGCCGCUCAGAAUGAGGCCACCCAGUAGUUAGGUGUGAAUUUUCGAGACCUCUGGCACCGUUCUAAGAUGGGUCCUCUCUUCGUAGGCUAAUGCAUUGGCCCUUUUUGACCCGUUUUGGGGCGAAAACAAAAACUGACUCCCGGGCAUAUUUUUUUCGGCCUUUAUGGGCAGAGAACUUUAAUACCGCUCAGAAUGAGGCCACCCAGUAGUUAGGUGUGAAUUUUCGAGACCUUUGGCACCGUUCUAAGAUGGGUCCUCUCUUCGUAGGCUAAUGCAUUGGCCCUUUUUGACCCGUUUUGGGGCGAAAACAAAAACUGACUCCCGGGCAUAUUUUUUUCGGCCUUUAUGGGCAGAGAACUUUAAUACCGCUCAGAAUGAGGCCACCCAGUAGUUAGGUGUGAAUUUUCGAGACCUCUGGCACCGUUCUAAGAUGGGUCCUCUCUUCGUAGGCUAAUGCAUUGGCCCUUUUUGACCCGUUUUGGGGCGAAAACAAAAACUGACUCCCGGGCAUAUUUUUUUCGGCCUUUAUGGGCAGAGAACUUUAAUGCCGCUCAGAAUGAGGCCACCCAGUAGUUAGGUGUGAAUUUUCGAGACCUUUGGCCACCGUUCUAAGAUGGGUCCUCUCUUCGUAGGCUAAUGCAUUGGCCCUUUUUGACCCGUUUUGGGGCGAAAACAAAAACUGACUCCCGGGCAUAUUUUUUUCGGCCUUUAUGGGCAGAGAACUUUAAUACCGCUCAGAAUGAGGCCACCCAGUAGUUAGGUGUGAAUUUUCGAGACCUUUGGCACCGUUCUAAGAUGGGUCCUCUCUUCGUAGGCUAAUGCAUUGGCCCUUUUUGACCCGUUUUGGGGCGAAAACAAAAACUGACUCCCGGGCAUAUUUUUUUCGGCCUUUAUGGGCAGAGAACUUUAAUACCGCUCAGAAUGAGGCCACCCAGUAGUUAGGUGUGAAUUUUCGAGACCUUCUGGCACCGUUCUAAGAUGGGUCCUCUCUUCGUAGGCUAAUGCAUUGGCCCUUUUUGACCCGUUUUGGGGCGAAAACAAAAACUGACUCCCGGGCAUAUUUUUUUCGGCCUUUAUGGGCAGAGAACUUUAAUGCCGCUCAGAAUGAGGCCACCCAGUAGUUAGGUGUGAAUUUUCGAGACCUCUGGCACCGUUCUAAGAUGGGUCCUCUCUUCGUAGGCUAAUGCAUUGGCCCUUUUUGACCCGUUUUGGGGCGAAAACAAAAACUGACUCCCGGGCAUAUUUUUUUCGGCCUUUAUGGGCAGAGAACUUUAAUACCGCUCAGAAUGAGGCCACCCAGUAGUUAGGUGUGAAUUUUCGAGACCUUUGGCACCGUUCUAAGAUGGGUCCUCUCUUCGUAGGCUAAUGCAUUGGCCCUUUUUGACCCGUUUUGGGGCGAAAACAAAAACUGACUCCCGGGCAUAUUUUUUUCGGCCUUUAUGGGCAGAGAACUUUAAUGCCGCUCAGAAUGAGGCCACCCAGUAGUUAGGUGUGAAUUUUCGAGACCUUUGGCACCGUUCUAAGAUGGGUCCUCUCUUCGUAGGCUAAUGCAUUGGCCCUUUUUGACCCGUUUUGGGGCGAAAACAAAAACUGACUCCCGGGCAUAUUUUUUUCGGCCUUUAUGGGCAGAGAACUUUAAUACCGCUCAAAAUGAGGCCACCCAGUAGUUAGGUGUGAAUUUUCGAGACCUCUGGCACCGUUCUAAGAUGGGUCCUCUCUUCGUAGGCUAAUGCAUUGGCCCUUUUUGACCCGUUUUGGGGCGAAAACAAAAACUGACUCCCGGGCAUAUUUUUUUCGGCCUUUAUGGGCAGAGAACUUUAAUACCGCUCAAAAUGAGGCCACCCAGUAGUUAGGUGUGAAUUUUCGAGACCUUUGGCACCGUUCUAAGAUGGGUCCUCUCUUCGUAGGCUAAUGCAUUGGCCCUUUUUGACCCGUUUUGGGGCGAAAACAAAAACUGACUCCCGGGCAUAUUUUUUUCGGCCUUUAUGGGCAGAGAACUUUAAUGCCGCUCAGAAUGAGGCCACCCAGUAGUUAGGUGUGAAUUUUCGAGACCUUUGGCACCGUUCUAAGAUGGGUCCUCUCUUCGUAGGCUAAUGCAUUGGCCCUUUUUGACCCGUUUUGGGGCGAAAACAAAAACUGACUCCCGGGCAUAUUUUUUUCGGCCUUUAUGGGCAGAGAACUUUAAUACCGCUCAAAAUGAGGCCACCCAGUAGUUAGGUGUGAAUUUUCGAGACCUUUGGCACCGUUCUAAGAUGGGUCCUCUCUUCGUAGGCUAAUGCAUUGGCCCUUUUUGACCCGUUUUGGGGCGAAAACAAAAACUGACUCCCGGGCAUAUUUUUUUCGGCCUUUAUGGGCAGAGAACUUUAAUACCGCUCAAAAUGAGGCCACCCAGUAGUUAGGUGUGAAUUUUCGAGACCUUUGGCACCGUUCUAAGAUGGGUCCUCUCUUCGUAGGCUAAUGCAUUGGCCCUUUUUGACCCGUUUUGGGGCGAAAACAAAAACUGACUCCCGGGCAUAUUUUUUUCGGCCUUUAUGGGCAGAGAACUUUAAUACCGCUCAAAAUGAGGCCACCCAGUAGUUAGGUGUGAAUUUUCGAGACCUCUGGCACCGUUCUAAGAUGGGUCCUCUCUUCGUAGGCUAAUGCAUUGGCCCUUUUUGACCCGUUUUGGGGCGAAAACAAAAACUGACUCCCGGGCAUAUUUUUUUCGGCCUUUAUGGGCAGAGAACUUUAAUGCCGCUCAAAAUGAGGCCACCCAGUAGUUAGGUGUGAAUUUUCGAGACCUCUGGCACCGUUCUAAGAUGGGUCCUCUCUUCGUAGGCUAAUGCAUUGGCCCUUUUUGACCCGUUUUGGGGCGAAAACAAAAACUGACUCCCGGGCAUAUUUUUUUCGGCCUUUAUGGGCAGAGAACUUUAAUACCGCUCAGAAUGAGGCCACCCAGUAGUUAGGUGUGAAUUUUCGAGACCUUUGGCACCGUUCUAAGAUGGGUCCUCUCUUCGUAGGCUAAUGCAUUGGCCCUUUUUGACCCGUUUUGGGGCGAAAACAAAAACUGACUCCCGGGCAUAUUUUUUUCGGCCUUUAUGGGCAGAGAACUUUAAUACCGCUCAAAAUGAGGCCACCCAGUAGUUAGGUGUGAAUUUUCGAGACCUUUGGCACCGUUCUAAGAUGGGUCCUCUCUUCGUAGGCUAAUGCAUUGGCCCUUUUUGACCCGUUUUGGGGCGAAAACAAAAACUGACUCCCGGGCAUAUUUUUUUCGGCCUUUAUGGGCAGAGAACUUUAAUACCGCUCAAAAUGAGGCCACCCAGUAGUUAGGUGUGAAUUUUCGAGACCUUUGGCACCGUUCUAAGAUGGGUCCUCUCUUCGUAGGCUAAUGCAUUGGCCCUUUUUGACCCGUUUUGGGGCGAAAACAAAAACUGACUCCCGGGCAUAUUUUUUUCGGCCUUUAUGGGCAGAGAACUUUAAUACCGCUCAAAAUGAGGCCACCCAGUAGUUAGGUGUGAAUUUUCGAGACCUUUGGCACCGUUCUAAGAUGGGUCCUCUCUUCGUAGGCUAAUGCAUUGGCCCUUUUUGACCCGUUUUGGGGCGAAAACAAAAACUGACUCCCGGGCAUAUUUUUUUCGGCCUUUAUGGGCAGAGAACUUUAAUACCGCUCAAAAUGAGGCCACCCAGUAGUUAGGUGUGAAUUUUCGAGACCUUUGGCACCGUUCUAAGAUGGGUCCUCUCUUCGUAGGCUAAUGCAUUGGCCCUUUUUGACCCGUUUUGGGGCGAAAACAAAAACUGACUCCCGGGCAUAUUUUUUUCGGCCUUUAUGGGCAGAGAACUUUAAUACCGCUCAAAAUGAGGCCACCCAGUAGUUAGGUGUGAAUUUUCGAGACCUUUGGCACCGUUCUAAGAUGGGUCCUCUCUUCGUAGGCUAAUGCAUUGGCCCUUUUUGACCCGUUUUGGGGCGAAAACAAAAACUGACUCCCGGGCAUAUUUUUUUCGGCCUUUAUGGGCAGAGAACUUUAAUACCGCUCAAAAUGAGGCCACCCAGUAGUUAGGUGUGAAUUUUCGAGACCUUUGGCACCGUUCUAAGAUGGGUCCUCUCUUCGUAGGCUAAUGCAUUGGCCCUUUUUGACCCGUUUUGGGGCGAAAACAAAAACUGACUCCCGGGCAUAUUUUUUUCGGCCUUUAUGGGCAGAGAACUUUAAUACCGCUCAAAAUGAGGCCACCCAGUAGUUAGGUGUGAAUUUUCGAGACCUUUGGCACCGUUCUAAGAUGGGUCCUCUCUUCGUAGGCUAAUGCAUUGGCCCUUUUUGACCCGUUUUGGGGCGAAAACAAAAACUGACUCCCGGGCAUAUUUUUUUCGGCCUUUAUGGGCAGAGAACUUUAAUACCGCUCAAAAUGAGGCCACCCAGUAGUUAGGUGUGAAUUUUCGAGACCUUUGGCACCGUUCUAAGAUGGGUCCUCUCUUCGUAGGCUAAUGCAUUGGCCCUUUUUGACCCGUUUUGGGGCGAAAACAAAAACUGACUCCCGGGCAUAUUUUUUUCGGCCUUUAUGGGCAGAGAACUUUAAUACCGCUCAAAAUGAGGCCACCCAGUAGUUAGGUGUGAAUUUUCGAGACCUUUGGCACCGUUCUAAGAUGGGUCCUCUCUUCGUAGGCUAAUGCAUUGGCCCUUUUUGACCCGUUUUGGGGCGAAAACAAAAACUGACUCCCGGGCAUAUUUUUUUCGGCCUUUAUGGGCAGAGAACUUUAAUACCGCUCAAAAUGAGGCCACCCAGUAGUUAGGUGUGAAUUUUCGAGACCUUUGGCACCGUUCUAAGAUGGGUCCUCUCUUCGUAGGCUAAUGCAUUGGCCCUUUUUGACCCGUUUUGGGGCGAAAACAAAAACUGACUCCCGGGCAUAUUUUUUUCGGCCUUUAUGGGCAGAGAACUUUAAUACCGCUCAAAAUGAGGCCACCCAGUAGUUAGGUGUGAAUUUUCGAGACCUUUGGCACCGUUCUAAGAUGGGUCCUCUCUUCGUAGGCUAAUGCAUUGGCCCUUUUUGACCCGUUUUGGGGCGAAAACAAAAACUGACUCCCGGGCAUAUUUUUUUCGGCCUUUAUGGGCAGAGAACUUUAAUACCGCUCAAAAUGAGGCCACCCAGUAGUUAGGUGUGAAUUUUCGAGACCUUUGGCACCGUUCUAAGAUGGGUCCUCUCUUCGUAGGCUAAUGCAUUGGCCCUUUUUGACCCGUUUUGGGGCGAAAACAAAAACUGACUCCCGGGCAUAUUUUUUUCGGCCUUUAUGGGCAGAGAACUUUAAUACCGCUCAAAAUGAGGCCACCCAGUAGUUAGGUGUGAAUUUUCGAGACCUUUGGCACCGUUCUAAGAUGGGUCCUCUCUUCGUAGGCUAAUGCAUUGGCCCUUUUUGACCCGUUUUGGGGCGAAAACAAAAACUGACUCCCGGGCAUAUUUUUUUCGGCCUUUAUGGGCAGAGAACUUUAAUACCGCUCAAAAUGAGGCCACCCAGUAGUUAGGUGUGAAUUUUCGAGACCUUUGGCACCGUUCUAAGAUGGGUCCUCUCUUCGUAGGCUAAUGCAUUGGCCCUUUUUGACCCGUUUUGGGGCGAAAACAAAAACUGACUCCCGGGCAUAUUUUUUUCGGCCUUUAUGGGCAGAGAACUUUAAUACCGCUCAAAAUGAGGCCACCCAGUAGUUAGGUGUGAAUUUUCGAGACCUUUGGCACCGUUCUAAGAUGGGUCCUCUCUUCGUAGGCUAAUGCAUUGGCCCUUUUUGACCCGUUUUGGGGCGAAAACAAAAACUGACUCCCGGGCAUAUUUUUUUCGGCCUUUAUGGGCAGAGAACUUUAAUACCGCUCAAAAUGAGGCCACCCAGUAGUUAGGUGUGAAUUUUCGAGACCUUUGGCACCGUUCUAAGAUGGGUCCUCUCUUCGUAGGCUAAUGCAUUGGCCCUUUUUGACCCGUUUUGGGGCGAAAACAAAAACUGACUCCCGGGCAUAUUUUUUUCGGCCUUUAUGGGCAGAGAACUUUAAUACCGCUCAAAAUGAGGCCACCCAGUAGUUAGGUGUGAAUUUUCGAGACCUUUGGCACCGUUCUAAGAUGGGUCCUCUCUUCGUAGGCUAAUGCAUUGGCCCUUUUUGACCCGUUUUGGGGCGAAAACAAAAACUGACUCCCGGGCAUAUUUUUUUCGGCCUUUAUGGGCAGAGAACUUUAAUACCGCUCAAAAUGAGGCCACCCAGUAGUUAGGUGUGAAUUUUCGAGACCUUUGGCACCGUUCUAAGAUGGGUCCUCUCUUCGUAGGCUAAUGCAUUGGCCCUUUUUGACCCGUUUUGGGGCGAAAACAAAAACUGACUCCCGGGCAUAUUUUUUUCGGCCUUUAUGGGCAGAGAACUUUAAUACCGCUCAAAAUGAGGCCACCCAGUAGUUAGGUGUGAAUUUUCGAGACCUUUGGCACCGUUCUAAGAUGGGUCCUCUCUUCGUAGGCUAAUGCAUUGGCCCUUUUUGACCCGUUUUGGGGCGAAAACAAAAACUGACUCCCGGGCAUAUUUUUUUCGGCCUUUAUGGGCAGAGAACUUUAAUACCGCUCAAAAUGAGGCCACCCAGUAGUUAGGUGUGAAUUUUCGAGACCUUUGGCACCGUUCUAAGAUGGGUCCUCUCUUCGUAGGCUAAUGCAUUGGCCCUUUUUGACCCGUUUUGGGGCGAAAACAAAAACUGACUCCCGGGCAUAUUUUUUUCGGCCUUUAUGGGCAGAGAACUUUAAUACCGCUCAAAAUGAGGCCACCCAGUAGUUAGGUGUGAAUUUUCGAGACCUUUGGCACCGUUCUAAGAUGGGUCCUCUCUUCGUAGGCUAAUGCAUUGGCCCUUUUUGACCCGUUUUGGGGCGAAAACAAAAACUGACUCCCGGGCAUAUUUUUUUCGGCCUUUAUGGGCAGAGAACUUUAAUACCGCUCAAAAUGAGGCCACCCAGUAGUUAGGUGUGAAUUUUCGAGACCUUUGGCACCGUUCUAAGAUGGGUCCUCUCUUCGUAGGCUAAUGCAUUGGCCCUUUUUGACCCGUUUUGGGGCGAAAACAAAAACUGACUCCCGGGCAUAUUUUUUUCGGCCUUUAUGGGCAGAGAACUUUAAUACCGCUCAAAAUGAGGCCACCCAGUAGUUAGGUGUGAAUUUUCGAGACCUUUGGCACCGUUCUAAGAUGGGUCCUCUCUUCGUAGGCUAAUGCAUUGGCCCUUUUUGACCCGUUUUGGGGCGAAAACAAAAACUGACUCCCGGGCAUAUUUUUUUCGGCCUUUAUGGGCAGAGAACUUUAAUACCGCUCAAAAUGAGGCCACCCAGUAGUUAGGUGUGAAUUUUCGAGACCUUUGGCACCGUUCUAAGAUGGGUCCUCUCUUCGUAGGCUAAUGCAUUGGCCCUUUUUGACCCGUUUUGGGGCGAAAACAAAAACUGACUCCCGGGCAUAUUUUUUUCGGCCUUUAUGGGCAGAGAACUUUAAUACCGCUCAAAAUGAGGCCACCCAGUAGUUAGGUGUGAAUUUUCGAGACCUUUGGCACCGUUCUAAGAUGGGUCCUCUCUUCGUAGGCUAAUGCAUUGGCCCUUUUUGACCCGUUUUGGGGCGAAAACAAAAACUGACUCCCGGGCAUAUUUUUUUCGGCCUUUAUGGGCAGAGAACUUUAAUACCGCUCAAAAUGAGGCCACCCAGUAGUUAGGUGUGAAUUUUCGAGACCUUUGGCACCGUUCUAAGAUGGGUCCUCUCUUCGUAGGCUAAUGCAUUGGCCCUUUUUGACCCGUUUUGGGGCGAAAACAAAAACUGACUCCCGGGCAUAUUUUUUUCGGCCUUUAUGGGCAGAGAACUUUAAUACCGCUCAAAAUGAGGCCACCCAGUAGUUAGGUGUGAAUUUUCGAGACCUUUGGCACCGUUCUAAGAUGGGUCCUCUCUUCGUAGGCUAAUGCAUUGGCCCUUUUUGACCCGUUUUGGGGCGAAAACAAAAACUGACUCCCGGGCAUAUUUUUUUCGGCCUUUAUGGGCAGAGAACUUUAAUACCGCUCAAAAUGAGGCCACCCAGUAGUUAGGUGUGAAUUUUCGAGACCUUUGGCACCGUUCUAAGAUGGGUCCUCUCUUCGUAGGCUAAUGCAUUGGCCCUUUUUGACCCGUUUUGGGGCGAAAACAAAAACUGACUCCCGGGCAUAUUUUUUUCGGCCUUUAUGGGCAGAGAACUUUAAUACCGCUCAAAAUGAGGCCACCCAGUAGUUAGGUGUGAAUUUUCGAGACCUUUGGCACCGUUCUAAGAUGGGUCCUCUCUUCGUAGGCUAAUGCAUUGGCCCUUUUUGACCCGUUUUGGGGCGAAAACAAAAACUGACUCCCGGGCAUAUUUUUUUCGGCCUUUAUGGGCAGAGAACUUUAAUACCGCUCAAAAUGAGGCCACCCAGUAGUUAGGUGUGAAUUUUCGAGACCUUUGGCACCGUUCUAAGAUGGGUCCUCUCUUCGUAGGCUAAUGCAUUGGCCCUUUUUGACCCGUUUUGGGGCGAAAACAAAAACUGACUCCCGGGCAUAUUUUUUUCGGCCUUUAUGGGCAGAGAACUUUAAUACCGCUCAAAAUGAGGCCACCCAGUAGUUAGGUGUGAAUUUUCGAGACCUUUGGCACCGUUCUAAGAUGGGUCCUCUCUUCGUAGGCUAAUGCAUUGGCCCUUUUUGACCCGUUUUGGGGCGAAAACAAAAACUGACUCCCGGGCAUAUUUUUUUCGGCCUUUAUGGGCAGAGAACUUUAAUACCGCUCAAAAUGAGGCCACCCAGUAGUUAGGUGUGAAUUUUCGAGACCUUUGGCACCGUUCUAAGAUGGGUCCUCUCUUCGUAGGCUAAUGCAUUGGCCCUUUUUGACCCGUUUUGGGGCGAAAACAAAAACUGACUCCCGGGCAUAUUUUUUUCGGCCUUUAUGGGCAGAGAACUUUAAUACCGCUCAAAAUGAGGCCACCCAGUAGUUAGGUGUGAAUUUUCGAGACCUUUGGCACCGUUCUAAGAUGGGUCCUCUCUUCGUAGGCUAAUGCAUUGGCCCUUUUUGACCCGUUUUGGGGCGAAAACAAAAACUGACUCCCGGGCAUAUUUUUUUCGGCCUUUAUGGGCAGAGAACUUUAAUACCGCUCAAAAUGAGGCCACCCAGUAGUUAGGUGUGAAUUUUCGAGACCUCUUGGCACCGUUCUAAGAUGGGUCCUCUCUUCGUAGGCUAAUGCAUUGGCCCUUUUUGACCCGUUUUGGGGCGAAAACAAAAACUGACUCCCGGGCAUAUUUUUUUCGGCCUUUAUGGGCAGAGAACUUUAAUACCGCUCAAAAUGAGGCCACCCAGUAGUUAGGUGUGAAUUUUCGAGACCUCUGGCACCGUUCUAAGAUGGGUCCUCUCUUCGUAGGCUAAUGCAUUGGCCCUUUUUGACCCGUUUUGGGGCGAAAACAAAAACUGACUCCCGGGCAUAUUUUUUUCGGCCUUUAUGGGCAGAGAACUUUAAUGCCGCUCAAAAUGAGGCCACCCAGUAGUUAGGUGUGAAUUUUCGAGACCUCUGGCACCGUUCUAAGAUGGGUCCUCUCUUCGUAGGCUAAUGCAUUGGCCCUUUUUGACCCGUUUUGGGGCGAAAACAAAAACUGACUCCCGGGCAUAUUUUUUUCGGCCUUUAUGGGCAGAGAACUUUAAUACCGCUCAGAAUGAGGCCACCCAGUAGUUAGGUGUGAAUUUUCGAGACCUUCUGGCACCGUUCUAAGAUGGGUCCUCUCUUCGUAGGCUAAUGCAUUGGCCCUUUUUGACCCGUUUUGGGGCGAAAACAAAAACUGACUCCCGGGCAUAUUUUUUUCGGCCUUUAUGGGCAGAGAACUUUAAUACCGCUCAGAAUGAGGCCACCCAGUAGUUAGGUGUGAAUUUUCGAGACCUCUGGCACCGUUCUAAGAUGGGUCCUCUCUUCGUAGGCUAAUGCAUUGGCCCUUUUUGACCCGUUUUGGGGCGAAAACAAAAACUGACUCCCGGGCAUAUUUUUUUCGGCCUUUAUGGGCAGAGAACUUUAAUACCGCUCAGAAUGAGGCCACCCAGUAGUUAGGUGUGAAUUUUCGAGACCUUUGGCACCGUUCUAAGAUGGGUCCUCUCUUCGUAGGCUAAUGCAUUGGCCCUUUUUGACCCGUUUUGGGGCGAAAACAAAAACUGACUCCCGGGCAUAUUUUUUUCGGCCUUUAUGGGCAGAGAACUUUAAUGCCGCUCAGAAUGAGGCCACCCAGUAGUUAGGUGUGAAUUUUCGAGACCUUUGGCACCGUUCUAAGAUGGGUCCUCUCUUCGUAGGCUAAUGCAUUGGCCCUUUUUGACCCGUUUUGGGGCGAAAACAAAAACUGACUCCCGGGCAUAUUUUUUUCGGCCUUUAUGGGCAGAGAACUUUAAUGCCGCUCAGAAUGAGGCCACCCAGUAGUUAGGUGUGAAUUUUCGAGACCUCUGGCACCGUUCUAAGAUGGGUCCUCUCUUCGUAGGCUAAUGCAUUGGCCCUUUUUGACCCGUUUUGGGGCGAAAACAAAAACUGACUCCCGGGCAUAUUUUUUUCGGCCUUUAUGGGCAGAGAACUUUAAUACCGCUCAAAAUGAGGCCACCCAGUAGUUAGGUGUGAAUUUUCGAGACCUUUGGCACCGUUCUAAGAUGGGUCCUCUCUUCGUAGGCUAAUGCAUUGGCCCUUUUUGACCCGUUUUGGGGCGAAAACAAAAACUGACUCCCGGGCAUAUUUUUUUCGGCCUUUAUGGGCAGAGAACUUUAAUACCGCUCAAAAUGAGGCCACCCAGUAGUUAGGUGUGAAUUUUCGAGACCUCUGGCACCGUUCUAAGAUGGGUCCUCUCUUCGUAGGCUAAUGCAUUGGCCCUUUUUGACCCGUUUUGGGGCGAAAACAAAAACUGACUCCCGGGCAUAUUUUUUUCGGCCUUUAUGGGCAGAGAACUUUAAUACCGCUCAAAAUGAGGCCACCCAGUAGUUAGGUGUGAAUUUUCGAGACCUUUGGCACCGUUCUAAGAUGGGUCCUCUCUUCGUAGGCUAAUGCAUUGGCCCUUUUUGACCCGUUUUGGGGCGAAAACAAAAACUGACUCCCGGGCAUAUUUUUUUCGGCCUUUAUGGGCAGAGAACUUUAAUACCGCUCAGAAUGAGGCCACCCAGUAGUUAGGUGUGAAUUUUCGAGACCUUUGGCACCGUUCUAAGAUGGGUCCUCUCUUCGUAGGCUAAUGCAUUGGCCCUUUUUGACCCGUUUUGGGGCGAAAACAAAAACUGACUCCCGGGCAUAUUUUUUUCGGCCUUUAUGGGCAGAGAACUUUAAUACGCCGCUCAGAAUGAGGCCACCCAGUAGUUAGGUGUGAAUUUUCGAGACCUUUGGCACCGUUCUAAGAUGGGUCCUCUCUUCGUAGGCUAAUGCAUUGGCCCUUUUUGACCCGUUUUGGGGCGAAAACAAAAACUGACUCCCGGGCAUAUUUUUUUCGGCCUUUAUGGGCAGAGAACUUUAAUACCGCUCAGAAUGAGGCCACCCAGUAGUUAGGUGUGAAUUUUCGAGACCUUUGGCACCGUUCUAAGAUGGGUCCUCUCUUCGUAGGCUAAUGCAUUGGCCCUUUUUGACCCGUUUUGGGGCGAAAACAAAAACUGACUCCCGGGCAUAUUUUUUUCGGCCUUUAUGGGCAGAGAACUUUAAUACCGCUCAGAAUGAGGCCACCCAGUAGUUAGGUGUGAAUUUUCGAGACCUUUGGCACCGUUCUAAGAUGGGUCCUCUCUUCGUAGGCUAAUGCAUUGGCCCUUUUUGACCCGUUUUGGGGCGAAAACAAAAACUGACUCCCGGGCAUAUUUUUUUCGGCCUUUAUGGGCAGAGAACUUUAAUACCGCUCAAAAUGAGGCCACCCAGUAGUUAGGUGUGAAUUUUCGAGACCUUCUGGCACCGUUCUAAGAUGGGUCCUCUCUUCGUAGGCUAAUGCAUUGGCCCUUUUUGACCCGUUUUGGGGCGAAAACAAAAACUGACUCCCGGGCAUAUUUUUUUCGGCCUUUAUGGGCAGAGAACUUUAAUACCGCUCAAAAUGAGGCCACCCAGUAGUUAGGUGUGAAUUUUCGAGACCUCUGGCACCGUUCUAAGAUGGGUCCUCUCUUCGUAGGCUAAUGCAUUGGCCCUUUUUGACCCGUUUUGGGGCGAAAACAAAAACUGACUCCCGGGCAUAUUUUUUUCGGCCUUUAUGGGCAGAGAACUUUAAUACCCGCUCAGAAUGAGGCCACCCAGUAGUUAGGUGUGAAUUUUCGAGACCUUCUGGCACCGUUCUAAGAUGGGUCCUCUCUUCGUAGGCUAAUGCAUUGGCCCUUUUUGACCCGUUUUGGGGCGAAAACAAAAACUGACUCCCGGGCAUAUUUUUUUCGGCCUUUAUGGGCAGAGAACUUUAAUACCGCUCAAAAUGAGGCCACCCAGUAGUUAGGUGUGAAUUUUCGAGACCUCUGGCACCGUUCUAAGAUGGGUCCUCUCUUCGUAGGCUAAUGCAUUGGCCCUUUUUGACCCGUUUUGGGGCGAAAACAAAAACUGACUCCCGGGCAUAUUUUUUUCGGCCUUUAUGGGCAGAGAACUUUAAUACCGCUCAAAAUGAGGCCACCCAGUAGUUAGGUGUGAAUUUUCGAGACCUUUGGCACCGUUCUAAGAUGGGUCCUCUCUUCGUAGGCUAAUGCAUUGGCCCUUUUUGACCCGUUUUGGGGCGAAAACAAAAACUGACUCCCGGGCAUAUUUUUUUCGGCCUUUAUGGGCAGAGAACUUUAAUGCCGCUCAGAAUGAGGCCACCCAGUAGUUAGGUGUGAAUUUUCGAGACCUUUGGCACCGUUCUAAGAUGGGUCCUCUCUUCGUAGGCUAAUGCAUUGGCCCUUUUUGACCCGUUUUGGGGCGAAAACAAAAACUGACUCCCGGGCAUAUUUUUUUCGGCCUUUAUGGGCAGAGAACUUUAAUGCCGCUCAAAAUGAGGCCACCCAGUAGUUAGGUGUGAAUUUUCGAGACCUUUGGCACCGUUCUAAGAUGGGUCCUCUCUUCGUAGGCUAAUGCAUUGGCCCUUUUUGACCCGUUUUGGGGCGAAAACAAAAACUGACUCCCGGGCAUAUUUUUUUCGGCCUUUAUGGGCAGAGAACUUUAAUACCGCUCAAAAUGAGGCCACCCAGUAGUUAGGUGUGAAUUUUCGAGACCUUUGGCACCGUUCUAAGAUGGGUCCUCUCUUCGUAGGCUAAUGCAUUGGCCCUUUUUGACCCGUUUUGGGGCGAAAACAAAAACUGACUCCCGGGCAUAUUUUUUUCGGCCUUUAUGGGCAGAGAACUUUAAUGCCGCUCAAAAUGAGGCCACCCAGUAGUUAGGUGUGAAUUUUCGAGACCUUUGGCACCGUUCUAAGAUGGGUCCUCUCUUCGUAGGCUAAUGCAUUGGCCCUUUUUGACCCGUUUUGGGGCGAAAACAAAAACUGACUCCCGGGCAUAUUUUUUUCGGCCUUUAUGGGCAGAGAACUUUAAUACCCGCUCAGAAUGAGGCCACCCAGUAGUUAGGUGUGAAUUUUCGAGACCUUUGGCACCGUUCUAAGAUGGGUCCUCUCUUCGUAGGCUAAUGCAUUGGCCCUUUUUGACCCGUUUUGGGGCGAAAACAAAAACUGACUCCCGGGCAUAUUUUUUUCGGCCUUUAUGGGCAGAGAACUUUAAUACCGCUCAGAAAUGAGGCCACCCAGUAGUUAGGUGUGAAUUUUCGAGACCUUUGGCACCGUUCUAAGAUGGGUCCUCUCUUCGUAGGCUAAUGCAUUGGCCCUUUUUGACCCGUUUUGGGGCGAAAACAAAAACUGACUCCCGGGCAUAUUUUUUUCGGCCUUUAUGGGCAGAGAACUUUAAUACCGCUCAGAAAUGAGGCCACCCAGUAGUUAGGUGGGAAUUUUCGAGACCUUUGGCACCGUUCUAAGAUGGGUCCUCUCUUCGUAGGCUAAUGCAUUGGCCCUUUUUGACCCGUUUUGGGGCGAAAACAAAAACUGACUCCCGGGCAUAUUUUUUUCGGCCUUUAUGGGCAGAGAACUUUAACACCGCUCAAAAUGAGGCCACCCAGUAGUUAGGUGUGAAUUUUCGAGACCUUUGGCACCGUUCUAAGAUGGGUCCUCUCUUCGUAGGCUAAUGCAUUGGCCCUUUUUGACCCGUUUUGGGGCGAAAACAAAAACUGACUCCCGGGCAUAUUUUUUUCGGCCUUUAUGGGCAGAGAACUUUAAUACCGCUCAAAAUGAGGCCACCCAGUAGUUAGGUGUGAAUUUUCGAGACCUUUGGCACCGUUCUAAGAUGGGUCCUCUCUUCGUAGGCUAAUGCAUUGGCCCUUUUUGACCCGUUUUGGGGCGAAAACAAAAACUGACUCCCGGGCAUAUUUUUUUCGGCCUUUAUGGGCAGAGAACUUUAACACCGCUCAAAAUGAGGCCACCCAGUAGUUAGGUGGGAAUUUUCGAGACCUUUGGCACCGUUCUAAGAUGGGUCCUCUCUUCGUAGGCUAAUGCAUUGGCCCUUUUUGACCCGUUUUGGGGCGAAAACAAAAACUGACUCCCGGGCAUAUUUUUUUUCGGCCUUUAUGGGCAGAGAACUUUAACACCGCUCAAAAUGAGGCCACCCAGUAGUUAGGUGGGAAUUUUCGAGACCUUUGGCACCGUUCUAAGAUGGGUCCUCUCUUCGUAGGCUAAUGCAUUGGCCCUUUUUGACCCGUUUUGGGGCGAAAACAAAAACUGACUCCCGGGCAUAUUUU